rnacentral:rRNA from 1 species
UGGGGAAUAUUGGACAAUGGGGGCAACCCUGAUCCAGCCAUGCCGCGUGAGUGAUGAAGGCCUUAGGGUUGUAAAGCUCUUUCGCCCGCGAAGAUAAUGACGGUAGCGGGAGAAGAAGCCCCGGCUAACUUCGUGCCAGCAGCCGCGGUAAUACGAAGGGGGCUAGCGUUGUUCGGAAUCACUGGGCGUAAAGCGUACGUAGGCGGACGAAUAAGUCAGGGGUGAAAGCCUGGAGCUCAACUCCAGAACUGCCUUUGAUACUGUUUGUCUUGAGUCCGGGAGAGGUGAGUGGAACUGCUAGUGUAGAGGUGAAAUUCGUAGAUAUUAGCAAGAACACCAGUGGCGAAGGCGGCUCACUGGCCCGGUACUGACGCUGAGGUACGAAAGCGUGGGGAGCAAACA